UCGUCGCUGCUUUCUCGACGACAGACGCAAUACACACACAUAACGCAUACGUACUCCCGCGUGCAUCUCUCUUACUCUCUUUCUCUCCCUCCCUCCCUCACUCCUGUCUGUCCUUCAUCCCUUUCCACUCAGCGGGGCGAGCCGAAAACUCGUUAUGCUCCGAGUAUCCCGUCUCGAACCGGUAACAUCUCGCUAUUAGCGAGAGGGGGAGAGAGAGUGUGCGAUCUUCGUCGUCGUCUGCGAAGGCGAAAGAUCCUUUGAGUUACGGGUUACGGGUGAAACAAAAACGCGUCCCGGCGAGAUGCGUCGCGCCGCACCGCGCCGCUUUACUCCCCGCGCUGACUCCGCGUGACCAGCGUGAGUGGAGUCGGAGUUACGCGCGACGGGACCGCGGGAGAAUUUCGGGAAGUGCGCCGCGAUCCCCGGUGCAAUCCGCCACGACCACCGCCGGCUGUUCGACGUCCCGACGAACGGGCGGCCCUGGAGGAGGACGUGGACGAGGAGGGAGGUGGAGGAGGAGGCGAGGAAGAAGAAGAAGAAGAAAAGGAGCAUUUCGGCUGCUGGGAGGAUGCGAGACUGAGCUGCCGCUGCUGCUGUUGCUGCUGAUGCUGCACGCAACUGAGCCUCGGUCGACAGCCUCCGAGGAACCAUGAGCAGGUCCUGAUCGCCAAUCAGUCGUGGACCGUGAAGAGAUGGACGCGGCAGGUCGAUGCCAGCAAGAGAAUCGUAGACCCAAGCAUUGAUAACGACAGUGGAGGAAAUUGAUAUCGUCGCCAGGUAGGAUUCUCUCUUGGAGGAUCCUCCUUCCCGGCUCUCUUCGCGUCUCCUCAUCACCUCGAUCGGACCUGGAGGAUGAGCAUCGUAGCCAUCGCUCGCAGAAACUGGGCGCUGCGCCUCUCGGUGGUGCUGAACGUGUGCGUGCUACUGUAUGUGUGCGCCCACAUCGGCUCGUCAGGACCGUGGAUCGAGGAACCCCCGACCAACUGGGCGGCGGCGGCGCCGCUUCAGUCGGAUACCUACGGAAGUGGCCUAAACGACCUCGUAAAUGGCACCCAGAAAGGCGCCGCAGCUGGCGCAUCAUCCUCCUCGUCGUCGUCGGCCGCUCUCGUCGGUGCCACAAAUAAUGCGGCGCCGACAAACAACGGUGGCGCCGGCCGUUCUCUCGGGAUCAGCCUCGUCACUACGACGCCUCCCAACGGGGCCAAGGCCGAGGCUCUUGAUAAGCCGCAGGAACACUCGCGUAAUCAGACGGUGAGGAACAGCACGACGAACGUCGCGCGCGAACCAAUGAGCCUGAGGGAGGCCGUGGCCUGCAAUGAGAAAUCGACAGAGCCUAGACGGGCACAGCGCGGCGAUUACUGGGUGUUGUACAAUUACGUGCCGAUGAGCAUGGCGGUGAAAUGUUGGGAGAGCGUGACAUACACCACGCACGCUGACUACACGUUCCUCGACAAUCUGGAGCCGCUGCUGGAGCGCUGGCGAGCGCCGAUAUCGAUCGCCAUGCACGCACCCGGCACCGACUUCCCGGCGACCCUCGACGCCAUCAGGUACUCGAGGAACUGUGGCAGCCCCCUGAUCUCGCAACUGGUGACCUUUCACGUCUUCUUCAGCAGUAAACACGUGCCAAAAGUGAUACCGUCAUCGGAGAAGAUCGCCUCCGACACGUACAACUGCUCGCUUGGACCACCAUGGGUGAACGUCAGCCUCGCGAAGAUGUACAAGAAUGAGAAAAAGCUGCUGUACCCGGUGAACGUGGGCCGCAACAUAGCGCGCGAGUCCGCACCCACCUUCUACGUGUUCCCCAGCGACAUCGAGCUAUACCCCAGCCCGAACCUGCCCGACAAGUUCCUCGAGAUGAUCCGCAAACGAGAUCAGCCAGCUCUCCACAAGCCCAAUCCCAAGGUCUUUGUGCUGUCCAUCUUCGAAGUGGACGAGAAGAACCAGCCGCCUAACAAUAAGACGCGUCUGAUACAGAUGCUGAAAGCAGGCACCGCCAUACCCUUUCAUAAGAAAUUAUGCUCCGGCUGCCAUAAUGUGCCGAAGAGCAAGGAAUGGCAGGAAGCGCCAGAGACAGAGAAUCUGCACGUGUUUCACGUUGGCAAGAGGACUGGCAGUUUCGUACACUGGGAGCCGAUCUUCAUCGGGACCAAUAACGAUCCUUUUUACGACGAAAGACUUAGUUGGGAGGGAAAGAGUGAUAAAAUGACGCAGGGUUACGCGCUCUGUGUUCUCGAUUAUGACUUUCUUAUUCUGGACAACGCCUUCUUAGUGCACCGGCCUGGUAUCAAGAUCUUCAAGAAAGAUCCACAUCGCGAUAUGCUUACCGCCAAGACGAACGCGCUUAUCAAGAAGAUUAUCAUGCCGGAGCUGAAGGUGCUGUAUGGCACGAGGAAAGGUUGCGCUGUGUAGCCCGUGGAGUCGCGGGCACGACAGCGCAUGCUGUAUAGGUGCCCGUCAGUACAAUGGAAUCAUCUGCGAUCCUCCCUGUCGUCUGCAUCGUCGUCGUCGACUUUCAUUAUGCAGAAACAGACCACUCGGACACGCAACGAGCUGGUGUUGCGAUUCGCUCUAGGCCCCCAAGACCGUGUUCAUGUGCGCUCCCUGAAACCCGCUCGUGAAUGGGACCUGAAAAAAAUUCGCUGCGAUUCAUAAAGAACAUUUCCCUCCCCUCUAAUUACGCCAACUCAACGGUGCCGAACGAACAUACGAAUUAUCGCAUAAGUACUCGGACCUCCCAGCAAGAACAGACCGAUCGAUGAGUCAUCAAUUAUUUGUCUUUGCAUAACGUCAUACUUUCGGACUCCACUCAAGUAUCUCGUUUCGAUCGUGACGGAUAAUAGUGUUUUCACGAACGAAGGAAACAGAACAGCGAAACGUGACUGGGUCGGAUUGCAAACUAUUACUUCAGUCGAUGCGGCUAUUCGCAUUUGCGAUAAGAAGCAACAUCGUAUAUAUUCUGAAGAAGAAAAAAUAAGGAAAAUCUUAUCUAUGUAAAUGUAAUUCAUUCUUAUACAUCAAAACAAUACGAUCACUGAACUUUGGCAAUCGCGCAAAUGUAGUAUUUUCAAAUUUUAAGUAUUCUAAGUGAUACAUUUUACUAUUCUCUCUACAGUAUUACUCUAUACUUGCACACAGACGCCUGUUUAAUGUAAAAAAAAUGUGACUAUAUUCAAAAACAAUAUGUUCUACAAGAAAAAUUCUAUCGCAUAACAUAAAUCGUCACUUAAGAACGAAUAGUAUAGCUUUGAGGAAGAUAAUCUUCACAACACUUUGAAAGCUUUUCUGAGAAUUUUUCAGGAAUACACCGCAUCAAAUUUACGCAAUUGAAUCAUUAAAGGUACUCCUUUCAAUAUCGUUAAAAAGAUUAAUAAUGCUGCCACGUAAAAUAUCGGACUCAUUCAUUUACUUUUCUUUUCAAAUCUUUAGUCGAUGAUUACAUCCACGAUGAUUAUGCUGACAUAAAAUAUAAUACAACAAAAUUUCUUGUAGCAAAAAAAACGUUAUUAUAUAUACGGAACGUAAACAUAUAAUGUAAACCAUAUACUUUUCUAUCGUCACCCCCGCGAGUAAUAUGACUAGCGAAUGUAUAUAUGAUCUUUCGUAACUAUUAAGACUUGAACGAGAAUAGUUGAGUCAGUAUGUAAUACGUUGAGAUUGAUUAGCUAGGGCGAUUCUAAUCGGAGCAAGACGCUGACUCAUUUUUUUGUGAUAAUAUUAGGGCACAAAGUAAUUAAUAUUCCUGUAAUCGUGCUUCGUCCGUUAUAAAAGACAUCCUUGAAACCGAUGUUAAAUGAUUUCUCGCAUACAUUAUAAAUGUAUGAUCCUCGUCGAGGAUGUUAAUUAACUUUUC